GGUUAAGCGACUAAGCGUACACGGUGGAUGCCCUGGCAGUCAGAGGCGAUGAAGGGCGUGCUAAUCUGCGAUAAGCGCCGGUAAGGUGAUAUGAACCGUUAUAACCGGCGAUACCCGAAUGGGGAAACCCAGUGUGAUUCGUCACACUAUCAUUAACUGAAUCCAUAGGUUAAUGAGGCGAACCGGGGGAACUGAAACAUCUAAGUACCCCGAGGAAAAGAAAUCAACCGAGAUUCCCCCAGUAGCGGCGAGCGAACGGGGAGGAGCCCAGAGCCUGAAUCAGCAUGUGUGUUAGUGGAAGCGUCUGGAAAGGCGCGCGAUACAGGGUGACAGCCCCGUACACAAAAGCGCAUGUGCUGUGAGCUCGAUGAGUAGGGCGGGACACGUGGUAUCCUGUCUGAAUAUGGGGGGACCAUCCUCCAAGGCUAAAUACUCCUGACUGACCGAUAGUGAACCAGUACCGUGAGGGAAAGGCGAAAAGAACCCCGGCGAGGGGAGUGAAAAAGAACCUGAAACCGUGUACGUACAAGCAGUGGGAGCACAGGUUUACCUGUGUGACUGCGUACCUUUUGUAUAAUGGGUCAGCGACUUAUAUUCUGUAGCAAGGUUAACCGAAUAGGGGAGCCGUAGGGAAACCGAGUCUUAACCGGGCGUUAAGUUGCAGGGUAUAGACCCGAAACCCGGUGAUCUAGCCAUGGGCAGGUUGAAGGUUGGGUAACACUAACUGGAGGACCGAACCGACUAAUGUUGAAAAAUUAGCGGAUGACCUGUGGCUGGGGGUGAAAGGCCAAUCAAACCGGGAGAUAGCUGGUUCUCCCCGAAAGCUAUUUAGGUAGCGCCUCGUGAACUCAUCUCCGGGGGUAGAGCACUGUUUCGGCUAGGGGGCCAUCCCGGCUUACCAACCCGAUGCAAACUGCGAAUACCGGAGAAUGUUAUCACGGGAGACACACGGCGGGUGCUAACGUCCGUCGUGAAGAGGGAAACAACCCAGACCGCCAGCUAAGGUCCCAAAGUCAUGGUUAAGUGGGAAACGAUGUGGGAAGGCCCAGACAGCCAGGAUGUUGGCUUAGAAGCAGCCAUCAUUUAAAGAAAGCGUAAUAGCUCACUGGUCGAGUCGGCCUGCGCGGAAGAUGUAACGGGGCUAAACCAUGCACCGAAGCUGCGGCAGCGAACGUAUCACUUAAAGCGAUUCAGCGGGUUACGAUUGACGGAGCGAAGCGACGUCAAAGCGUAUACAAAGUCGAGUCGGUUUAAGGAUACGUUCGUUGGGUAGGGGAGCGUUCUGUAAGCCUGUGAAGGUGGCCUGUGAGGGUUGCUGGAGGUAUCAGAAGUGCGAAUGCUGACAUAAGUAACGAUAAAGCGGGUGAAAAGCCCGCUCGCCGGAAGACCAAGGGUUCCUGUCCAACGUUAAUCGGGGCAGGGUGAGUCGACCCCUAAGGCGAGGCCGAAAGGCGUAGUCGAUGGGAAACGGGUUAAUAUUCCCGUACUUGGUGUUACUGCGAAGGGGGGACGGAGAAGGCUAUGUUGGCCGGGCGACGGUUGUCCCGGUUUAAGCGUGUAGGCUGGUUUUCCAGGCAAAUCCGGAAAAUCAAGGCUGAGGCGUGACGACGAGGCACUACGGUGCUGAAGCAACAAAUGCCCUGCUUCCAGGAAAAGCCUCUAAGCAUCAGGUAACAUCAAAUCGUACCCCAAACCGACACAGGUGGUCAGGUAGAGAAUACCAAGGCGCUUGAGAGAACUCGGGUGAAGGAACUAGGCAAAAUGGUGCCGUAACUUCGGGAGAAGGCACGCUGACACGUAGGUGAAGUGAUUUACUCACGGAGCUGAAGUCAGUCGAAGAUACCAGCUGGCUGCAACUGUUUAUUAAAAACACAGCACUGUGCAAACACGAAAGUGGACGUAUACGGUGUGACGCCUGCCCGGUGCCGGAAGGUUAAUUGAUGGGGUCAGCGCAAGCGAAGCUCCUGAUCGAAGCCCCGGUAAACGGCGGCCGUAACUAUAACGGUCCUAAGGUAGCGAAAUUCCUUGUCGGGUAAGUUCCGACCUGCACGAAUGGCGUAAUGAUGGCCAGGCUGUCUCCACCCGAGACUCAGUGAAAUUGAACUCGCUGUGAAGAUGCAGUGUACCCGCGGCAAGACGGAAAGACCCCGUGAACCUUUACUAUAGCUUGACACUGAACAUUGAGCCUUGAUGUGUAGGAUAGGUGGGAGGCUUUGAAGUGUGGACGCCAGUCUGCAUGGAGCCGACCUUGAAAUACCACCCUUUAAUGUUUGAUGUUCUAACGUGGACCCGUAAUCCGGGUUGCGGACAGUGUCUGGUGGGUAGUUUGACUGGGGCGGUCUCCUCCUAAAGAGUAACGGAGGAGCACGAAGGUUGGCUAAUCCUGGUCGGACAUCAGGAGGUUAGUGCAAUGGCAUAAGCCAGCUUGACUGCGAGCGUGACGGCGCGAGCAGGUGCGAAAGCAGGUCAUAGUGAUCCGGUGGUGGUUCUGAAUGGAAGGGCCAUCGCUCAACGGAUAAAAGGUACUCCGGGGAUAACAGGCUGAUACCGCCCAAGAGUUCAUAUCGACGGCGGUGUUUGGCACCUCGAUGUCGGCUCAUCACAUCCUGGGGCUGAAGUAGGUCCCAAGGGUAUGGCUGUUCGCCAUUUAAAGUGGUACGCGAGCUGGGUUUAGAACGUCGUGAGACAGUUCGGUCCCUAUCUGCCGUGGGCGCUGGAGAACUGAGGGGGGCUGCUCCUAGUACGAGAGGACCGGAGUGGACGCAUCACUGGUGUUCGGGUUGUCAUGCCAAUGGCACUGCCCGGUAGCUAAAUGCGGAAGAGAUAAGUGCUGAAAGCAUCUAAGCACGAAACUUGCCCCGAGAUGAGUUCUCCCUGAGACUUAGAGUCUCCUGAAGGAACGUUGAAGACGACGACGUUGAUAGGCCGGGUGUGUAAGCGCAGCGAUGCGUUGAGCUAACCGGUACUAAUGAACCGUGAGGCUUAACCUU
rnacentral:rRNA from 1 species